rnacentral:lncRNA from 1 species
CUAGAUGAUCAAAAGGCAAGCAUUUUAUGGAAGGGAGUGGUAGAAUAUUUCAAUUCAGUGGUGAGAGUACAAUUGGAAGGCAGAGCUGCUGUUUAAGAAGAAUAAUGUAUUGGAAAUGUUAACGAUACUGCAUGGAUGAAACAAAAGAUCGCGUUUAGAAGCAGAUUUGUAGGAGAUGACACUUAUUUUGGGAACUGUUCUGAUGAAAGGAAGUAUCUUGAAAUCUACAGAAGGAAAUAUCUAAAGCUUCAACUUAUGCUAAGCUGCUACAAAACUCCUUGGCCUUCCUGCAUGAAAAUUUAUCAGACUCGUACAAUCCCAACCAAAUCUAUCAGAACCCAUAUUACAACUCAUUCUGAGACCUAUUGAUGUCCUCUUCACCAUGAAUCACCUUCAGUCAAGGACCAAAGUACAGAGUGGACUCCUGGAUCCAUCCUAUCUCUGGGCCCUAAGACUUUUUCUGAAAGCUGAGGUAUCAAAAAGUGCUAAUGUGUUAUGGCGAAGUGAAGUAAAAAUUUUGUACAGGUCUUGACUGAAAGUUUCUCCUUUUUCUCCUUACCAAUAUUUUUCCAAUGGUGAAUCAGA